rnacentral:lncRNA from 10 species
GGCAGGAUUUCAAAGUGGCACAGGAGACGUUUGGGAGGUUUGCAUAUGCACCAGCAAGGCUCUUGGAUCAAGCCCUACAGCAGAAAGCAAGCAGUAUGUGGUGCCGUGGAAGCAAGAUGCUAAGAAAAUACACCUGCGAACAGUGAUGUAUCAAUGGCUGGAGCGAGACAGGAGAGGAGGAACAGGAGGAGGAGAGUGAGAGAAACUGAUUGCCAACCUUAGUCCAGUGAAAACUUUGCUCCGAUAAUAUUUCCUUGGCCUGACCAAUCCAGAUCAACAAUCCUCUUCUUUGGUGAUUGAAUAAGGGAAGAAGCUCU